rnacentral:rRNA from 1 species
UGGGGAAUAUUGGACAAUGGGCGCAAGCCUGAUCCAGCCAUGCCGCGUGAGUGAUGAAGGCCUUAGGGUUGUAAAGCUCUUUUAGUGGGGACAAGCCACGGGUUAAUACCCGGUGGUCUUGAUUUAACCCAAAGAAAAAGCACCGGCUAACUCU